UGAUAAUGCAAUAUUUAUUGCAAGCACGGCACUUUUCCAAAAUUUUGAAGUGUUUACGCGCGAAAAUGAUGUCUAAAUAAAUGUGCAAAAGUUUGACAAUUAAAAUAUUAACCCUUAUUUUUGAGGAAUAUUUACAAGAGAGUGAAAGCUGUCGCCGAUUUGCCAAUCAGAUGUUAAAAUAAACGAGUAGAAUUUGCCCAAUCGAAGUCAACUAAUAUGUCCUGACAAAUUAAUUAACUUGGUGAGCAGAGCGCCAAAGCAAUAUCAAUUCACUAAAGCAUCUACCAUAACGGUUUGAAAAUGAACUUUAACAAAUCACGAAAUACAUUAAAGGAAUAUACAUGCACUAGAUAUAUUCACAGGUGACCAAAAAAUGUUACACAUGAAAAUUCAUCUAUUAUAAAAAUGUUACUUUUCCUUAAAAUGCAUCAAACAAUUAGACGUUCCUUGACUACGUUUUAUCUUCAUGUAUUAAUCAUCAGUUCACAUUUGGCAACUAUGUGGAUAUCGGGGGAAUGGUAUAACAUCGCGUAUGUUCUUUACUCCCGUAAGUAAUUGAAGAUAACGCUCAAAGCCUAAACCGAAGCCACCUGUAGGAACACCGCCAAACUUUCUCAAUUCCAAAUACCAUUCUAAGCCCUGGGGUAGAUGCGGAUGUGCUCGCAAACGUUUCUCAUCGUUUUCGCGUAAGCUCCCUCCGCACAAUUCUCCAACUUCAGGCAUUAAUAAAUCUAAAGCAUGAACUCGUUCGGAUUUUGUUUGAACUACUUUCAUAUAGAAUGGCUUUUGAUUGGCAGGCCAAUCCACAACGAACACUGGUGUUCCACAAUGUUUUGCAAGGAACAAUUCUUGUUCUUUGGAAAAUCCUUCUUCAGGUUUAAGCUCAGUUUUGAAUUGUUGCUUGUUUGCUUGUAAAAUGUUCAAAGCCUCAUCGUAGCUGAGAGUGGUCCACGCAACUUUCAGCCAAGAUAGUUCAAAAACAGAGCCUAACGCUUUUUCUUGGCAAAAUCUUAAAUCAUCUUUUGCUGAUUCUAGAAUGCGCAAUGUAACGCUUUUUAUCAUUUUUUCAAUAAAUUCGGUUAAAGAAUU